rnacentral:lncRNA from 1 species
UUUCAGAUCCAAACACCAAUGGCCGAGACCCAAACAAGCGGCCGCCAUCAUCACAGGCACAACGCGCAUCACCUGCACAGGCCGCCGCCCUGUAAGGGGAAGCUGAUCACGGUGCUGAGCAUAGAUGGAGGAGGUGUGAGAGGCAUCAUCCCGGGAACCAUCAUCAACUUUCUCGAGACGAAGCUUCAGGUGGGAAACCAAUCCAUCGUAGCCUUAGGGAUGAACCAGUCAAGUGUGGUCAACGACGAACUGUUCUGUGAGUGCAGGAACUCGACGGACCGGAUGCCAGGGUGGCAGAUUACUUCGACGUGGUUACAGGGACGAGCACAGGAGGACUGCUCACGGCCAUGAUCACCGCUCCUGAUGAGAAGCAGCGCCCGCUCUUCUCAGCCAAGGACAUCAUUGACUUCUACCUCCAGAAUUGCCCGAAGAUCUUUCCUCAAGGGUCGGUCCACGGCUCUUGCGUGCCCUUGUUCUGACGCACAGUUCCGAUUCUACCUCUGCUAACAUAUCAAACUCUCUAUCUCCUUGCAGAUCUGGAUUUCUCAGCUCGGUAAGGAAGUUGGCAGGUGCAAUUAUGGGGCCUAAAUACGACGGCAAGUACCUGCACUCCAAAGUCAAGGACCUGCUCAAAGACAUCAAGCUCAGUCAGACCUUAACGAACGUCAUAAUCCCAGCCUUUGACAUCAAGCUUCUCCAGCCCAUCAUCUUUUCAUCCUUUGAGGUGCCUCUUGAGUAGUCUUAAUCUUCAACAAUGGAGAUCUGAUGUCUGUAGAUCUGGUCAUAUUCAUGCCUUGUUACUCUCAGGCGAGAUUGGAGCCUCUGAAGGACGCGCAUGUAGCUGACAUUUGCAUCAGUACAUCGGCGGCGCCGACCUUCCUUCCGGCGCACUACUUCGAGACCCAAGAUUCCAAUGGAAACACUCGUAGCUACAAUCUCAUCGAUGGAGGUGUUGCAGCGAACAAUCCAGUAAGCAAGAAUCUAUGAGUAGCUUCCGAUUGCUUCCUUCUUUCGCUUGAUCUGCUUGCCGGUGACUGACUUGCCACCGUUUCUUGCGAUCCAGACCUUGGUGGCGAUGAGCCAGAUCAAGAAGGAGAUGUUCCUGAUGAACCAGGACUUCCACUCCUACAAGCCGAUCGACUACCACAACUUCAUAAUCAUCUCCAUCGGCACCGGCGCCGCCAAGGUGGAGAAGAAGUUUAGUGCACAUCUCGCGUCCAAGUGGGGCAUUCUUCAGUGGCUGUACCAUGGUGGUUCCACCCCUCUGAUCGAUAGCUUCAGCCAUGCUAGCGCCGACAUAGUCGACGUCCACAUGUCCUCUGUUUUCCAGUCACUGCACUGUGAGCAGAAUUAUCUGCGCAUACAGGUAAAGUCAUGUUGAGGUUCCUCAGAUCCAUCUUGUUCUAAGUUCUUGGAUGAUCGAAGGACUGAUCCAACCGGAUUGCAGGAUGAGACCUUGAUGGGCCAAGCAUCAUCUGUUGACGUCUCGACAAAGGAGAACCUGCUUGAGCUGGUGAAGAUCGGUGAAAGUCUUCUGAAGAAACCAGUCUCCAGGGUCAACCUUGAGACAGGAGACUUCGAGGAGGUCAAGGGAGAAGGAACCAACGCCGAAGCACUCACUCGCUUGGCUAAGAUACUCUCCGAGGAGAGGCACCGUCGGAAAGGCGUAAUGGCCUUAAACUGAGCGAAUAAUGGCUGGAAUACUUCCGUCUCUCUUUCUCUACAUCGAUCUCUAUCUCUA